GAGACUAUAGCUUGGUGGUAGAGUGCAUGCCUAGCAUGCUCAAGGUCCUGGGUUCAAUCCCCAGUACUUCCG
rnacentral:tRNA from 1 species